GAGGUGGUUGAGACAAUGCAAGGCGGAGGACAGUCAGCGGGAGCGGCAGCGGCAAUUUUCGAUGACUGCUAUCACUAUGCUUGUGAUUUUAUCAUGACUAAAUUCGAACAUUGUAAUAGAGAGGCAAAUAAAGUAGCACAUGAACUUGCUAGAUUAGCUAGAUUUUUUUCGACUUCGGUUUGGUUUGAGGAGCCUAUUAGUGAAAUUGUAACACUUCUCACAAACGAUGUAUUGGUUAUUGCUAAUGAAUAA
rnacentral:rRNA from 1 species